rnacentral:lncRNA from 1 species
GCUUUUGUCCCCCGAGUUGUGAUCUAGGGACUUGGCACUAGGUGUUGCCUGACAGGAUCUCGGAACGUGUUCAGGGACCGGACGUCUCGGGGUGGAGAUCCUGCUCUUCGCCAACUCUGCCACCCCAGACCUCUUGGGAUCGUGCUCUUUGGGCUCUGGACCCCAUGGCUGAUAAGAAACUGGUGGUGGUUUUUGGAGCCACAGGGUUUCUCUGUGUAGCCCUGGAUGUCCUGGAACUGGCUCUGUAGACCAGGCUGACCUCAGACUCACAGAGAUCCACCUCCCUUUGCUCCUCAAGUGCUGGGAUUAAAGGUGCGCAAGGUGGCUCGGUGGCACGUACACUGCUGGAAGAUGGGACAUUCAGGGUUCGAGUGAACAUGUUCCGUUUCUAUGCCCUGAAACCUGACCGGAACAUUGAUCUGACCCUGCGACUCAACCCCAAAGCCCAGACACUGGACCAGUGGCUGGAGCAGCACAAAGGGGACUUUGCACAUUUGUGAUCUUGAAGCACUCAUGUGAGGAACAAGAAGCACAACACCCUUUCUUGUGUACAGUUCUGUGUUUGUUUUUUCCCCUAAAUAAAGCCAUUGUUCUCUC